rnacentral:lncRNA from 1 species
UUUUUUUUUUUUUUUUUUUUUUUUUUUUUGGGGUCCCAAGAACAUUCUUUGGUGAUAGAAGAAGAACGUAAAGAAGUUAGGUUGGUAUAUAUGAUAGUUAAGAAUCAAAAUCCAAAUAAAAAUAUGUUUCUUGGUUUCAUCAUAAUGAAACUCAUGAUGCUGUCUGUUCGUCUCUAUUACGACUCUAAAUUCUACUUUGGUUCGGAACAAAUAUAAUAUUAAUAUGUAGGAGAGUUCUUGGUCAGCACCGGUUUUGUUGAAGGUAUGUUCUAUCAAUGAGCUGCGGUCAUAAUCAUUAUUUUCGAAUUAAGAAACUACUAUCAUCGUUGUAUCAUAAGCUCUCAAAGAUUACAAUAAUUAAAUGAGAUGGAUAAUCUUCUAUCCAUACAAAUGAAUCUCAAUACUAUAAAGUAAAUUUCGUUAAAGAAUUUACUACUUGAUUGCAAAUCAUUGAGACAUGAUAAAUUUGAAAACCUUAAUUUGAAGUUAGCAAGUGUUGAAUGUCAACUAUAAAAUAAAAUAAUUAGGUACAAGUAAAAGUUUGACCCGUAACUAAUUUAACAACGUUUAAUGAAUUCGACUCUACUACUAAUGAAAAUAAACUAAUCUCACUAAUAGUAUUUGAGAAUUAUAUUUAAAAAGAAAAAAAAAAGUGAAAUCAUUAAAGAAACAUUCAUAGAUUUAUUAGAAGAUAAAUUAUUUGUCGUGAUUUUGUCAUCUUUUUGUUUCUUUAUCAUUUUUCUUCUAAAAACCAAAUUGCGAUUGCCCAUUCAUCAUAAAUAAAUGAAAUGGCAAAUAAAGGGGCGGGCCGAUCCACAUCACUGAGCGGACCACAAAUUUCAUGAGAAAUUGAAUCCAUUGGGCCGGGCCUUGGCCUGAUGUGAAGACCGUGUGGGCAGACAUGAUUUCUCUCGGAUGGGGUAGUUGGUAAAUGUGAAGUAUAGACUGAUACAAUCUACAUAUAAUUGAAUUAGGGCACAUCCUGUAUCGUUGAAUUGCCCUUUUAUCUUUGGCUAAAAAGUGCCAAGUUUUCCUCUGCACUAUUUGUUGGUGAAAUGAAUUGAUUUACGAAAUACAUCUUAACUUUAACAUUUGGCACAAGUUGCUUCGCGUCUCAGCAUUCGAUUGCUUUGAUUUAAACCAAGGGUUAGCGAGGCCGAUGUUAAUUAAAUGUUUCACUUAUUCCCAACUAAUUAUUUGUCCGUAUAUUAUAAUGAUCGCGGCCACUUCUUUCUUCUUUUUGCAGCAAGCUGUGUCAGCUCACCAAAUUUCCAUGUAAGCCAUUCAACUUGAACAAAUUAAGGAUUAAUGAAAUUAAGUUAAAACAAAAACACUUUAUAUCAUCUGUUGAUUACCUUCAACUGUUAAAUUAUUAAAUUACCUCUUCUUGUUUUGAUAUUCUCUGCGCCUCAUAAGUUUAAGAAUCUUAUUUUAGCAUAAACAAACGUUGAAUAUCAACAAGAAUGUAAAACAACUCAAUACAAAUAGAAAACUUCACCCAAAAUUAAGUCAUUAACACACAUAAUGAAUUUGACUCUACCAAUAGCAGAGAUAAACCAAUCUCAUUAGCAAGUCAUAUACUAAAGCAGAAAGCGUCAACCGUGAGAUCAUAAUAAUUGGUAUCAAAGGAUGAGUUAUAAUUACAUUAUUAAUGGUUUUAUACAUAUACAUGUAUAUGUAUGUAUGUAUGUUAUAAACUUUGAUAAUAGAAGAGAAGUUUUAUUAAUUAAAAUAAGAGUGCAUCUGAUUAUAGGGAAAUAAUAAGCCAUAUCUAUAUGGCAAAGACAAACAACAACAAUAAUAAAAUAUAACAUCCUCUUUUAUUUUUUAUUUUUUUAAGAAAAAUUCAUAUCUCGUAGAGCAUAUUAUUAUUCUUUCUUUUUCCUUUUUUUUUCUUUUUAAGUUAGCAUAAUGGUGUAACCCAAUUUUCAUUGUACCUUUGUGAAAAAAGUUUGAACUUCGUACCUGCUGGCACCUAAAUUAACGAGAUCCAUCAUUUUAAAAUGAGCAAUGCUAAAGAGAUGAGAAAAAUGAGAGAAAGACGAGAGAAAAUGAAAAAAUUUUACUCUCUCUCUCUACCCAGCCCACUUUCUCUCUCUUCAUUUUCAAUACACUUUCUCUGGUCUUUUUCUUUCUUUAGCAUUUUUCUUUUAAAAUUAAUCUUAGUUGAUGGGCCCCAGCAUUUUAUUAUUUUAUUAAUAAUAAAAACCAAACUGUGGCACUGUGCUCGUACAAUCAUCAUUCAUCAAUGAGAUGGCAAAUAAAGGACCGGGCCGAUUCACUUCAAUGAGCGGGCCACAAAAUUUUGGUGAGAAAUUAAAUUCAUUGGGCCGAGCCUUGGGCUGAUGUGAAGACUGUGCUGUCCAUCGGAUUUAAAUGGCGUUCCAAUUUUCAAAGACGUCAAAGAAGAAAGAAGUCAACAACAAAGCAAAAUUGGACUUUUAUUAUGUAAUCAAUUGUCAAUUUAUCAGACGGAGGACUUGCAAAUAAAUACAAAAUGAUUAAAAAACUCUUCCAGAUUGCAACCUCUCUGACAAAUUUGGACCCGUCUUCUUUUCUAGAAGACAUUUCUUCCACGGAAAUUCUACCCCGUUUACUCUUGACGUGUCCAAGCAUACACCAAUCUUUGAAAGUUUCAACCUGAAGUGUAAACGCUUGGAACUAGUGUGCUUGAGCUUAACUUAAUCUGAAAGUUAAUAAUUUAAUAAACACAUCCCUUUAUUUGAGAGUUGAUGUUACAAUUUAUCAACUUCAAAAAAUAAAAAUAAAAAUUUGUGAUACUCCGCUAUGAAAUCCAUCAACUACUCCUCCAUUUACUGCGGAUUCAUUUAUAGAAACUAUUCCUUCGUUUACCUUGGAUUCAUUUUUAGCUACGGAUUAAAUAUUCCCCAGCAAUUGCAAAUUCAAAGUCACUGGUUAGCCCCACCAAUAGAAUUGAAUAUUCAUUCUCUCAUACUUCUCCAGGACACGAAAUAAAUAAUGGUCACAUGCGGCUCUAUCGCAGACGAGGCAACAUGAUGGAACUUUCAUGCAGCUUAUGGAAUUUACAGUAUUUAACUAAAACCAAUAAUUGAUCCAAAAGCAACCUUAUUGUUUUUCAAUAACUUGCCUUGUACGCCAUAACUUGGAACAUUCUCCAUAUAUAAAGGUUCCUGAUUAGUUCAUGGCCAUUUCUCGCUUUCUGAAAAUGAAAUCUUGUAUUACAAGAAGUAAAUUCCAAGCCAAAGAAGCUGCUAAAGAAGAAGAUGGUGUAUUGGCAACUAAUUAUAAUGUGUCCAUGGAAGAUCUUCCUUUGCCAAUUCUUGUUGAUAUUUUCUCCAGGCUCCCAAUCAAGACCAUUCUUCAAAUCAAGUGUGUUUGUAAAUCCUGGCACAGCUUAUGCUCGGAUCCUUAUUUCGCCAAAAUACAUCUUGCAAGAGCACCAUUUUCAAUAAUGAUUCUCGAGAAGUUCUGUAAGAGGAUCUACACAAAUUCCCUAGUGCCCUUGUUUACAUUGAACCAAGGUGACAAGGAGAGGCUGUCUUUGCUAUCUUCAUGCAAUGGCUUGAUUUGCUUGCAUGAGUUUUCUUACAAGCAAGAUGUCAUUUCUGUGUGGAAUCCAAUUCUUGGCGAUCACUUGGUCCUUCCACAACCUAAAAGGAAAAGUGUUGCUACAAGAAUACGUGGCUUCGGCUACAAUCAGAGUACUAAUCAAUACAAGGUGAUUCAAAUUCUCAGUUACAAAGAUCAAGCAGCGAUUUCCUCCAGUAAGCUUCAGGUUGAAGUACAUACAAUUGGUACGAAUACGUGGAGAAACAUUGGAGACCUUCCGUAUGUACUUAAUCAACCAUAUUAUGGAGUUUUUCUGAACGGUGCUCUUCAUUGGUACGCUCAUUCACAUGAUAAGAGAACGGCGUUUAUGUGUUCUUUUGACCUUGGAGAUGAGCAAUUUCGACAAUUUCCAGGUCCCCCAACUCGAGAAUAUGACAAAUGUAGGCCCAUUAACAGCAUUUCUGUGGGAGUUUCAGGAGGGUUUCUGUAUUUAUGUGAUGGUUUCUUGGAACCUAAUCUUGAUAUUUGGAUAAUGAAGAAGUAUGGGGUGAAGGAAUCUUGGACUAAGGAGUUUGUUAUAGUCAACUCAGUAGUCUCCAAGUUGCAAAGGUUAUAUGGAUCGUUGCAAAUUCUGAAUUACAGAGAGAAUAUGAACAAGGAAGCAACCGAAGGAACUGAACUGCAAAUGUUAUUUGGUUCAGAAGCUCUGCUUGCUUACAAUGUAAGAAGCAAAAGCAUCAGAAGACCAAAAGUUUUCGGCGUUCAGACAAACUACCAAGCGAUUCCUUACAUUCCUAGUCUUGUUUCAAUCAAAAAAGCUGCAAUGAACGAAAGCUCACAGAUGCUCUGAUCCUAAUCAAGGUUUUCUACUUACAAAUGUCAUUACAGGUUUAUUGUUUUUAGAACAUUAUUAAUUAAUUUAUUUAUUUAUUUGUAAGGAAUUAGCAUUCCGAAAGAAUAUUUGAACGAUGGAUCCAUAAAACCGAAAAUUUCAUCAUGCUCUCCCUCUCUUUUCACAUCAAUUUGUAUCAUCAAAAUCCCACUUUGCUUGUUUAAUCAUCGGCGUUUUUAAUUUAAGACUUGUUGCCGCAAAUCUCUGCCAAGUUGAUAUCUUAUUUUAUGGGAAACAGAGUAGGAGAAGCAGCGGCCGGCUCAUUAAUUAGCUCACAAAAUACGGACCGAUAAGCACAACGGAGCCUCUUCCUGGGAGAUUAUCCCUGACAUUCAAUCAAGGCUGCCCAUAACAUCUAUACUACAAUCAAAUAAUCAAUCUUGUUUGCUAAGCCUGGCUCUGCUUAGAACAAGACCCUCUUCUUGUUUCCACGCAUUUCUCACGUCUUUCAGGAGUUUGAUAUGAUUGUGUGAUUCACUAACAAUAAACUAUCUACAUAUAUAAUCCAUUCUCCGGGGACUACAUAGAACUGCCCAGAUCAGUACAAUUCCAGAAUCAAGAUGUGAUGUUUGGUUUUGGAUUCAAAGGAGUACCAGGUUUUCAAGGUUGUCUAUUACAGGAUACCAAGUAGAAUCCAUCGCAUUUUUUAUGACAUGAUUCCUGUAAGAUCAGAUGUUCAUGUUUCCACAGCCGGCAGCCCUGCCCGGAGAAGUUUAUGGCGAACACCUUCCGAUAUUUUUCCAGGAGCCAUCACAGGUUUUUGGUUAAUUGGAGGAAUAAAUUGGUUUACUCAGCCAGAAAAAUAGUCCAAGCCGGUGAAUUUAGUGGACUGCCUUUCUGCUGCAAUCCCUUGCAAAUAUGGGAAAUUAGAGAUUUUGGGUUAUGAAGAAUUAUGGUGAUAUGAAACUCAGAAAUGGAAGUAAUGCUUGAAAUAGAUCAAUUUGAGUGUGGUACACCUGAUUUAACAAACUUUUAGUUAACGUUCGGCAGGGAAAAAUGGAUCAAUACUGUCAAAAUUUGUCCUUGUUAAUUGGUACAUACCAAACAGAAAAGCGAAAAUACCAUUUUCCAUAGGAAUUAUCGAAGGAAUCAAUCCGAGAAAACAAGCUUCAUCGUGAGUUCAAAUGUUUUCAUAAAACUAUGAUGUGAUCAUAGUUCCAUUUUAAUUGCAUCUUGAUUCCUAAUACUCAUCCAGUAUCAGCUCAAAAAACUUCCAUAGACCUAUAAGCACAAUGGAGCAUCUUCCGGCGGAGAUUUCCUUGACAUAUUAUCAAGGCUGCCAGUAACAUCUAUACUGCAAUUCAUGCUUGUAUGCAAAGCCUAGAACAAGUUAACACACAACACUCUUCUUGUUACAAUGCAAUUUUCGCGCAUGGGCGAAAAUGACCCAUGUCUCAUCUUACACUGUGACUAUACAGUUCGAAACCAGCUUUAUUCUUUGGAGCUCCCAUCUUACAAUGAAGACAAUCAAAGGUAUAUAAAAUCAGAUUUUCUACGUUGCCAGAGUUUUCUAUAGUCGGAUCAUGUAAAGGCCAAAACAACAAAAAGUUUACACUACAUGAAUAUAAUCCCUCACCUGGACUACGUAGAGCUUCCCAAAUCCAUAGAUUUCAAUUAUCAAUAUGUGGUGUUUGGAUUUGGUUUUGAUACAAUAUCAAUUAAGUACAAGGUUGUCAAGGUUCUUUAUUAGAGGGAUCCGCGUAGACAUCACCACUAUCUUAGCAGAAUCAUUCCACCAACACCUGAGGUUCAGGUCUUCACCUUGGGCAGCCCAGCGUGGGGAAGGCUUGGACCUUACCAUUUUCUUCAGAGCCCAUCACCGGUUUUGGUCAGCGGAAUGCUUCAUUGGUGUACUUGGCCCCAAAAAUAUGGUCCAUGUCGAUUGCUCAUCUCCCUUGACCUAGCAGAUGAGCGAUUUCGAGUUGUCCCAAAACCUGAUUGUGGUGGCUUAGAGAGGUGUUAUUUUGACUUGGUGAAUUUAGGGGUUACUUGUCUGCUGUUGCACAUUGCAAAUUUAGAAUAUUUGAGAUCUGGGCUAUGAAGGAUUAUGAUGCGAAGGAGUCUUGGAUCAAGCAAUUUAGCAUUGGAAUUCACGUGCCAAGCGGAUUGGAACAAGAUUUGAGUCAAUCCUUCAGGGAUUCAAAGUUGUACAGGAAUAUCUCAUUUGUUUCAUGUCUCUUACCUUCUUAAAAAUGGAGAUAUCUUGCUGGGGUAUAAAUGCACCAAGAGAUGGAAUAUCUAAGGAUCUAUUGCUCCCCGGAAUGCCUAUUUGGUUUGAAGCUAGUGUUCACGAGGGAGCCUGAGUUGGAUUGACAGUUUUAAUUGAUAAUGGCAUAUAAAAUGUAAGCCAAUGCUUCUUUCCUUAGUGAGUUUGCUCUUUAUUAAAUAAAAAUGUUUGGUUCAAUGUUGAUACCUAGUUCCCGUUUUUCAGCAUUCAUUUCUUACUUUCAGAGUUUGAAAUUGACGAUUUACUAGAUAAUGUUUAAGCAGCUACAGAAGCAUCAAUUAAUUUGAUCAAAAUCUUUAUGGACUCUCAAUAUCACAAAGAAAUAAAUUUAGAAUUCUCUCAAAAUUAUAACAGAUUAACAAAUUUCUUGUGGCCCCGCUGCCGUAUCAACAGCUUAAGAACACAUUACCACAGUCGGGGAUUUUUUUUUAAGUGUUUGGCCAGCUGCGUUACCAGCAAUGCUCUUUUAUGAUCGAGAUAUCUUUUUGUCAUCUUCAGCAUAGAUGACAAAAAGAUAAGGAGAUUGUCCCUGGUUUAACAAGCUCUCUAUUAGACAUUCGACGUACAGCUGUUUUUUGAAUAAAUUAUACCUCUUGUAUCAAUCAUUUACAAAAGAGUCCAAUUUAAUUUGGUCCGUAUCAAACAUCAACCUUCAUGAUAAUUAUCAAAUGUAUUAAUCCAGAAAAACGAUCCUCGUCGUAGACUCCGUCUCCGUUUUAUAUUAAUUUGAUGUUAUCAUUGUUCCACUUCGUUUACUUUCCCCUUCAUUUUCAUUUUAAGACCUGUCCUCCUGAUUCUCUGGCCGGCAGGACUCAUGUAUUGCCAGAGACAUAGCAAGUGAGGAAACAACAAAUCUUAAGAAGCACUCAUAAACCAAGCAAGCACAAUGGAAUAUCUCCCGCAGGAGAUUGUCCUUGACAUAUUAUCAAGGCUGCCCGUAACGUCACUACUGCACUUCAAGCUUGUAUGCAAAGCCUGGCUCAACACUGCACAAAACCCUCUGCUUCCUAGUUUGCAAUUUUCCCGCAUGGCCAAGAAUGAUCCAUGUCUUAUCUUGCACUGUGACUACCCCAUCCGAAACCAGCUCUACUCCUUUGAGCUCUCAUCUCGUGAUGAAGAUAACCAAACGGUUCACCAAAUCCGGGUACCUGCCUUGCCUGAAUUCGAUGUGGUAGGAUCAUGCAAGGGCUUGCUGUGCUUAUGCGAUUCAUCAACAAAAAAUCGACUGUACGUGUAUAAUCCUUUUACUAGGAACUAUGUAGAGCUGCCCAAAUCAACAGAGUUCCAGAAUCAAGGUGUGGUGUUUGGAUUUGGUUUCCAUCCAACAACUAACAAGUACAAGGUUGUCAAGAUUGAUUACUGUAGGAAAACACACGGAAACCACCGCUAUUACCGCGGUUAUGGAAAAUCAGAGGUUCAGAUUCUCACUUUAGGCAGCCAAGAAUGGAGAAGUCUUGGGCAAGUAAAUUACCACAUGUUGGAGGCGCCAUCACAAGUUUUGGUCAAUGGAAGACUUCAUUGGUGUACCUGGCCACGAUACCGUGGUCCAAGUCGCUUGCUAAUCUCCUUUGACAUUGCAGAUGAACAAUUCCGGGUAGUCGAGAAACCUGAUGAGCUACACAGGAUCCACUAUGACUUGGUGAAUUUAGGUGGUUGCCUUUCUGCCGCCGUCCCUUGCAGUUCUGGGAAAGAGAUUUGGGUUAUGAAAGAGUAUGAUGUGAAGGAGUCUUGGAUCAAGGAAUACAACAUUGGAAUUCAUGUGCCAAGAGGAUUGGAACAAGAUUUGAUUCCAUCUUUCAGGGACUCAAAGUUCUUUAGGAACAGAAGCUUCGUUCGAGUCUUGUGCCUUCUGAAAAAUGGAGAAAUCUUGUUGGAGUAUAAAUGUAGAGCUUUGGUUUCUUACAACCCAAGAAAUGAAAUGUUUAAGGAUCUUUUGCUACAUGGGAUGCCAAACUUGUUCGAAGCUAGUGUUCAUGAGGGCAGCCUCAGUUGGAUCGACUCUUUCAGUGAUAAUGAUUUAUAAGCAUAUAAUCUAAGCUAAUGCUUAUAUUCUCAGUGAGUUUGCUCUUUAUGGAUUAAUAAAAAAGAGUAUGAUUCUAACGGUUUAUGGAGUUUUUGUGACGUGUCGUGUAGAUUUUCAGAACAUUGAAUUAUUUAAAUAAAUUUGGUUAAAUUUUUUUUUAUGAAACAAGAAAGCUGAUUUGAUCAAGGAAACACUAUUAAAUUUGCAAUUUAGGAACUCAAGUUGUGUUUGAUAAAUUGUAUUAUAUUAUUUUAAAUUGUAUUAAUACUGUCUGUUACAACGUUUCUUAUCAUUAUUGAUAAUUUCCAUGUUAAUAUCUUUCUUAUUUGUUGUUGUUAAAUUAAUAUUUAAAUCCAACACCUGGUUGAAGAUGCUCCCUUAAUAGACGUUUGGUACCUAUAAUUUGAAAUAAAUUAAGGGAAAAGGAAAAAAGGGAAAGUGACAUAUUUGUCACUCCCGUUAACCUUGGAGCAGUGAUAAGGUCGGUCGCCCAAACGGGCAACUGACACACGAGCCAUUUGUAUGUUGGACAUGUGUCCAUUUCUCUUUCUUUCUUUAAAUCAUAUAAAGUAACUUUUAUCUCGUUCUCAAUAAAAUAUUUAGUUAAAUUGUUUACCAACCUUUUUCAAUGAAAUUGCAUUCAAAAUGCCACGUUACUUCUUUAUUUUGUUAUUUAAUUGCCCUUAAUUUUUCCAAAAAUACCAAAUACUGGAUUCCACCUGGUUCCCACCUUCAAAAGCACAAAAGUUGCAGGGCAUUUUUAGAUGAAAAUUUUAUUUUGAAAUUAUCAUCUCAACAGCCACCAACAAGGAAUUAAUUGUUUGGAGAAGUUACAAGUCUUUUUAGUAAAUCCCUUUUACAUUUCCUUUAUAAAAUAUCUUUUUAUAAUGUAAUUUAAAUUACAUUAGGUUUUUUUUAUUAUUAGAAAAAUUAUUAUUCAUUCACUUUAAGUUUAUCAUGUUAUAAAAAAAUAUUAUAAAAAUUUGAAUUUAUUUAAUUUCCCAUCCUGAUCUACCAAAAGGACAUAAUUACUUUUAUUCAAAUGACAAAAUAAAAUUAAAUACAUAUUGUGGUAGUAAUUAUUUUAUGAGAGUAAUUAUAUCUUUUUUUGUGGAUGGUUUUAUAAAUUGUAAAUUUAUAGUGAAAAAUAAAACAGAUUCAAAAUUUUGCAGUAUUUUUUUAAUAAUGGGACAAAUUUAAGAUAGAUAACUGAUAAUUCCCUAUAAUUAUUUAAAAUAAGAAAUGCUGCUGUCAUUUUUUUCUAUACAAAUUUGGUGUCUUUUGUUUUUGUUAAUUAAUAUUGAUCAUUUAAUGUAGCAAAAAUUUUUAUAUUUAUUUUCUAUUUAUAUUAUAAACAUUGAGUUUUUUUUACAUACAAUGAAGUUAGUAAACUGAAAUUGUUUCUGUUGACUUGUUGAAGUGCAGGUGUUCAUUUGCUAUAUAUGAUUUUUCAAAAUCUUUUAUUUAGAGAGAGAGAAGCUUCUCUUUAAUGGGUAAUUAAGUUACAAAAAAAAAAAUGAAGCCGGUGCCAUUUUGAAUGUAAUUUCACUGAAACUAGUGGGUAAAUAAUAUAACUAAAUAUUUUAUUGACAACGAGGCAAAAGCUGUUUAAUGUGAUUUAAAGAAAAAAAAAGAGCAGUGGACACAUGUCCAACUUACACAGAGUUUACCAAUAGGCCUUUGGUCCAAUGGGAGAAGCCUUGCACUUACAAUGUUGAGUGCAAGGGUUCGAGCCUCCAUAAGAGCAUUAUGGAGGUUAGUUUCAGUUCUUCCUCAAUUAUCAAUUAAUUGAGUGGAGACAGUCUCUCCCUUACGAAAUGUGAGUAGAGCAGGCACCCCUCGAAUAUUAGAGAGGGUUUAAAAUAUCUGGGCAUAUACUUCAGUGUGUCAAUGUAUGAUGGUGGUCCCAGUUAUAUAGUAUGAUUGUAAAUAUUAAUUGUAAUGUCUGAUGUAAUGUCAGUAAUAUCUGUAUAUAACAGACUUAAAAAAAAAAAAAAAAAAAAAAAAAACUUAAAAAAAAAAAAAAAAAAAAAAAAAAAAAAAAAAAAAAAAAAAAAAAAAAAAAAAAAAAAAAAAAAAAAAAAAAAAAAAAAAAAAAAAAAAAAAAAAAAAAAAAAAAAAAAAAAAAAAAAAAAAAAAAAAAAAAAAAAAAAAAAAAAAAAAAAAAAAAAAAAAAAAAAAAAAAAAAAAAAAAAAAAAAAAAAAAAAAAAAAAAAAAAAAAAAAAAAAAAAAAAAAAAAAAAAAAAAAAAAAAAAAAAAAAAAAAAAAAAAAAAAAAAAAAAAAAAAAAAAAAAAAAAAAAAAAAAAAAAAAAAAAAAAAAAAAAAAAAAAAAAAACUUACACAGAGUUUGGGUGACUGACCGGUCUCAACCUUUUGCAGCAAAUAGUCAAACGUUCGUUCUUAUCAAAGACCAUCUACAUGAGCAUCAGCAUAUGGAUCGAUCCAGAAAAGCAAUCUUCCUUGCUUGUGCCGUCACCUUUUAUAUUAAUUUCCCCCAAUCAAUCAUACUCCCACUUUGUUUUCUUAUAUCUUCAUAAUUCAAUGAUUACUGAGAUCUCAUGUAUUUUCAAAAACACGGCAUUAUAGCAACCAAUAAGAGCAAAAACAUUCAUAAACCAACAAGCAUAAUGAAUUAUCUUCCACAAGAGAUUGUCCUAGACAUACUAUCAAGGCUCCCCGUGAUACCAAUACUGCAAUUCAAGCUAGUAUGCAAAGCCUGGCUCCACACAGCACAAAACCCUCUGCUUGCUAGUAUGCAUUUUGCCAACACCGGCAAAGAUGACCCAUGCCUCAUUUUAAAUUGUGAAAAUCCCAGCCGACAACAGCUUUAUUCUUCGGAGCUAUCAUCUCGCGAGGAAGAAAAUCAGAAGGUGAACAAAAUUCGUGUUCCCACUUUGACAAAAUUUUUAUUUUCGGUGUAUUAAAUUAUUUGGUAUUCGAAAAUUAUAUUGGGCCCCGACUAAUUCAAUUUCGAGCUGGUAGGACCAUUAGGGUGGUAAAAUUCUCCCAACAAAUAUUUAAUAUAGUUACAUUCCCAAGUCUCGAACUGAUAAUCUUAGUAAAGAUAAAACAACCACAUAUCAGCUAAUUUACAUGCCUGUUGGUUCACUUUGCCUGAAUUUGAUGCGCUAGGAACAUGCAAGGGCUUUCUGUGUUUAUGUGAUUCAUCUAUGAAAAAUGAACUGUGUGUAUAUGUUGGAGAAAAAUCGAUUUUUAAAAUUUUUAUAAAAACUUUUAGGACCGAUCUCAUACAAUACAUAGGAAUUCAUAAUCUAGAAAAUCAUAUAUUGACAAUCUGAUUUGGCUUUUUCGCUGAAUUAAUCUAGGCUCUCAAAUCACGAUUUGUCACCACCACUCUUGUUAUAUCGCGAUCAAUCACCACCAAUCUUGUUAGAUCACGAUAUGUCACCAAUGAUCUUCCAAGUUUUGACGCAAGUUUAAUCUGCACUUGACGUGUGGGCGCCUUUAUCACCACUAAAAGCAACUAGUAAGAGAAAAUAUUCCUCUCAAAAUUAGAGAGAGAAAAUCUAUUUCUUUGAUCUGUAUAAUGUGGCUGCUACUUCUUUUUGGGAGAAAACAAACCUUUUUUUUUUAUCUGAACCACGAGGUGGUCCUGAGUGGGCCCCAAUUAUGGGAGGGACCUUUAAACUCGUACCAAAACCUAGACUAAUCCCCGCUCGCAUCAGGUCGGCCCGUAAGGGGAGAAAACUAGCCUUUUAUAUAUUUAUUUAGUGGAAACCAUAGGCUCCAUAUUUAUUAAUUUUUAAUGCUAUUAAAUCACAUUUGAUUUAAAUUUAAAAGUUAUAAAACCAAAAGUAACGUUAUUUCUUUUUGUUAUAGAGGCCCACCUUGUAAAAUAAUAUAAGACCCCUACACACAAGUAUAUUUUAUGGAGCCUCCCACUAAAUAAUAUAUUUAGGUUUUUAACCCAAAUAGCUAGUUAUCUUACUUAUUAAUCCAGUAGCAGCGCAAUCAAUUAAAUGAGGUAACUCGUAGAUCAUAUGGGUACAUACAAUAGUGACUACAAUAAUUAGGCCUAUAAUUAAACUAGUUCAAUUAUUUAAUUCCAAAUCUACUCCACUAAAAGAUUGGAAUUGACCUCCAUAAUUGUAUGCUAUCUAGGAUAGUGUUUUCGAAUAAUAAUUCGACCCAUGUCACAUUUAUUUCUUUACUGUAUAAUCAUUUGUAUCACAUCGUUAAUUAAAUUGAUAUCUCAAUUGUCCAAUCAAUUUAAUUACAUUUUGUUUCUUGAUACUUAUUGGUUUUCUCUAAUGAUCAUUUUCAACAUACUAAAUAUGUUGAGUUUAGUAUGUUGACACACUCUGACCAGAGAAUUCUAUGAUCAAGUACCAAAAACUCAUCAAGAGAUGUGUUGUACAAAUUCUAUAGUAUUAAUCUAUAAGUCUAAUACUCAUAAUUGCUUCUACCAAAAUACCGAGUAAUCUUGACUAAAAGUGUGUGUCGUGCCCAUUAGUUACUCAAAUGGAAUAACAAUUACAAUCAUGAAAUCAUAACUAACUCAAUAUUAAGAUUACAGUAAAAUCAAUGCCUAUGAGAUUUAAUAAAUCUGAUAAUUAUUACAAAGUUAAUUAAAUCUCAUAUGUGAUCAUGUUUAAUAUAGUCGUACUACAUCAACAUACAUGAUUAAGACAAAUCAUUCAAUGAAUUUAUUACAGUCUAUACCUUGAUAAAGUGCCCAACUUUAUUUAUCAAUUGCGAACUUAAUUUAUUUAAUUAUAAGAUAACUUUUAUUUAUAUUUUCUGUGAAUCGACAUAGUGAUCACAUAAAUACAUAUAAUAUGACUAAAUUGACUUUACUUAAAAUAUUAAUGCAAUUAAGAUACUUGAAUAAAAUACCUCAUUUAUUUUAUUAAUCAGAAAAAUUGUUUAUUACUAUUAACUAAACAUAUAUACUUUUAAAGAGUAUAUUUUCCCAACAAUAUACAAUCCAUUUACUAUGGACUACUUAAAGCUGCCCAAACCCCAGAUUUAGAUUUCAAUAUUCAACAUGUGGUGUUCGGAUUUGGUCUCCAUCCAACAUCAAACGAGUACAAGGUUGUCAAGAUCGCCUAUUAUAAAAUACCCGAGGAGAAAUGAAAUUGCCACUUAUGGUUAUUGGAAAUCAGAGUUUCAAUUUCUCACAAUAAGUAGCCAAGCCUGGAGAAGUUUAGGGAGAGAACAUUACUAUUUGAUCCAGGGGCCAUCACAAGUUUUAGUCAACGGAAGACUUCAUUGCUUUCAUUGGUGUACUUGGCUACGUGGUUCAUGCCGCUUGCUUGUCUCCCCUUGACAUCGAAGAUGAACAACUCCGGGCGGUCCCGAGACUUGAAGGGAAAGGAUUAUUCAGGUGCAAUUUUGAUUUGGUGAAUCUAAGGGGUUGCUUUGAUGUAGGUGUCCCUUGCAAUAAUGGGACAUACAAUAUUUGGGUUACGAAAGAUUAUAAGGUGAAGGAGUCUUGGAUCAAGGAAUACAGCAUUGAAAUUCAAGUACCACAAUGACUCAAAAGAGAUGUGAUUGGAUCUUUCAGGGACUCAAAAGUUGUGGAAUAGCACAUUGCUUCGAGUCAUGUGCCUUCUGGAGAUACUGUUGCAGUACGGAUACAAGUCUCCGGUGUCUUAUAACCCAAGAAAUGGAACAUUUAAGGAUCUUUUGUUCCUUCGAAUACCUAAUCGGUUUGAAGAGUAUGUUCACCAAGGAACCCUUAGUCGGAUUAAAAAUCUCACCGAUACCUAAUGCUUCUUUUCUCAACUUUUAUUCUUUUUUUUUAGGGAAAUUUAUAACCGUCCACCUGUUUGUUUUGCCUUUUUUAAAAAUACACAAACACUUUUUUUUUCCAGCGCGCCACCUGAAGUUUGCUUUUUGUUGCAUUCGUCCACUUCCGUCUAAUUUCCGCUAGCGAAUUUAACGGAAUGACCUUUUUACCCCUCAAAAUUACAAUUUAACCCAAAAUAAAUAGAAAUUGGAAAUAAAUUGGAUGAAUUUAAAUUUUUUUAAAGGUGGAUGCUAGAAAUUGGAGGAAAAUAAUGUUUGUUACUAAAUUUAGAAAAUUUGUAUUUAUUUUUUUGGACGAAAAUAGUGUUUGUUGCUUGCUAGAUUUAGAAAAUUUGUAUUUAUUUUUUCUCUUUCAAAAAAAUAAAUACAAAUUUUCUAAAUUUAGUAACAAACAAAAAAAAAAAAGUGUUUGUGUAUUUUUGAAAAAGACAAAAUAAAUAAGUGGACAAGUGUAAAUUUUCAUUUUUUUUAAUAUUAUAAAGAAUCAAAUAGGCUGAGAACUAGCUGUUCAGCUUCAAUUUAUCGGCCCUCAUGACCUUCAUUUACCUUAAAUAUUUGCGACCAUUCUUGUAUGUGAUUUUGAUUUUCCUUGAAUUGCUGACAUUUGUAGAAUGAUUGAUAAAAAACAAAAAGAUGUCAUGUAUGAAAUUAGUGAAUAACUUAUACAUUUCUUUAUCAAACCAGUAAGACAUGACCAAAUUAACUCCACUAAGCCGGCAUUGGCCAAUGGCAAUUGCUCACUCCAAAAUUGAGGGCACUAGUUUGAAUCUUGUUAUUGGAUUUAGAUCCAGUUUUGAGUUUAUUUAUAUUCAACUUUUCAUAAUCUUUUACCAUAUGUGUUUAUAUUAAAAUUACAAUUAAUAAUUUAUUGUUCAUAAUUAAGAAUAUUAAUAAUUAUAAUAAAUUUACAAAUAUAAUAAAAUAAAUAUUAUUCAUUAAAUAUAUUUUUUAUUAGUUUUGUAAUUAAAAACUAUAAUUCUUUAAAUAAGGAUAAAAUUGUAAUUUGAAACUAUUUACUCCCAAUCCAAGACAAAGUAAACACAUAAAUUGGAUUCUGAUCUCUACUCCAUACUUCCAUUCCAGUGUAAGUAAACAACCUACUCCCACUCCCACUCCACACUCCCACCCCAGAAUUCCCAAUCCAAUCCAAAAAGUAAACGCUACCUUAAGGGAUUCAACAAAAGUUCUCUAUCGAGAUUAAUAUUUUCUCGAAUAUUAGUGAGAUAAGAUAAGUGUGAGAAUAUUUCUUAGCAUAUAAAUGUAUGAUUUCAAACUAUAUUAGUAUUAUAAUAAACGUAACCAUAACAAUUAAAAAAAAGUGACAAAAUUAACAAAAAUUGAAAUUAUUUAGGAAAUCUAUGCUGUUUAGUUUGGAAUUUGAACAAAAUAUCUAAAAGUUAAUUUUUCUUAAUGUGGAUUAAGUUCUCAUUAUUUUGUGCUUGACUUAAUUUGAAACCCAAAGAACAAAAUUUUCACAAAAUUUUCAAGUUAGAUUUGUCAAAUCAGUCGUUUACUAUUUGGCUAAAAGAGUUUCCUCUGGAAGUCUCUAAUUUAUUAUAUUGAAUUGUCAAUUUAUUAGGACAGAAAUAAUUUUUUUUUAAAAAAUCGAAUAAUACAAAUUAAACUGAUUUAUUAUUUCAAUUUACCAAAACGUAUUUAACAAUUUGCUUACAAUUAUGUCAAUUUUUUUUAAUUCGGAAGAGCCGCUACUGCGAGUUAUCUGCAAGCACGUGGACUAUUCGCACCAUUGAAAAUUUAGACUAGCGACUCACCCACUCUAAAAAAAUCAUUUAAAAAACGUGCAUCUGCUAGUUAGAUCGUGAUUAUAUACCGGCAGGAGAUGACAUCAUGAUGAUGGUUUUUUUUUUUUAAUCACAACAGCAAAAUACAUUAUUACUGCCGCACUUAAACAAUAAUCUCUCAUUAUAAUAAUCUAAUUCAUGUAAUAAAUACGUAAUCGUCGAUUAAAUCAUCGUGUGACAGCAAAAUGAUAAGAUAAAUCAUUAAUGAAUACGUGAUUAUUUAUUAUAAAUAUGUUAUAUUAUUAAGAUACAAAUUUAACGUUUCAACUUUAUUUAUGCAUAACAUCAUUUGAAAAUACACGGUAUUUCUUCCGUGCAAAUGCUCUUUUGUGUUAAAAAAUACAAAUAAGACACGAACAUUUAUCGUAUAUUUAUUAAUUUGUAAUUGGAAUGAGUUGGAAUCUUAAUGGGAAAUGAGAAUCAGAAUAAAUUGUUUAUCUCAAAUGUAAGAAUUAGAAUUAGUUUACUGUUGAUGUGUUUAUUUUGUUUUGAAAUUGAAAUGAAUUGUUAUAAGUUACUAAAUGAUCUUAGUUGAUUAUUGCAAUAUUUAUUAUAAUAAUAGUAAUUAUUAUUAUUAUUCAAAAUAAUUAAUAAUAAUUAUUAUUCUUAUUAUUAACAACAAUUAAAAAAUAAGAAUAAUAAGAAUAAUAAUGACAUAGUAGUAUUUUAAUUGAGGGCAAAAAUGAAAUUAUGGAAUUUAGAUAGGAUAAAAUGAGUAGUUUAAGAAAUGAGAAUUUGAUUCAUACGGGGAUGGAAAUUAAGUUCUCAUUUCUCAAUUCCAAAAAUAUAUAAGUCCCACAUAUUUUAUUCUCAUUCAUAUUACUAUUUUAACAAGUAACCAUCUUCGGUUAUUCUCAUUCUAGAUUCUGAUUCUUUUAUCUAGAAAGCAAGCGAACCAUUAGAAUGGAAUUACAUAAGCGUCGAGUUGGGUCAGUUCGGACUCUCAACCCACAAACAGUUUUAUUUUUAUUUAUAAUUUAAACUUAUAAAAUAGAUAUAUUUAUGAAACGCUGCUGAUAGUUUUAGUUUGUGAUACUUUACUCAGUGAUAUCCCUUCUUCUUUUUUUAAGACUUCGAACCCAAUAUCUUUAUUUUUCAAUCUUUUAGUUCCCAUUGGUUUAACUGUCAAUAAAUUUUUUCCCAUAUAUUUUGACAGUGUUAAAUUUUUACCUCUCUUCUUUUAUCACUUCCACGUAUUGGUAGUCAUUGACAUGAUUUAACACACCGGAGCUGUUACUGGGUUUUCCUGGUAGAUGACUGUAGGCCAGCAGCCGGCGGACGUGGAGCUAGCCUACAGUGAAAUUCCAUUUUUAACUAUCCGGAGCUUUUUUUGAAAAAACUGUUUGUGAUAUUUGAAAUUAAAGGAUUCUCAAAAAGAAAGAAAGAAAAAAAAAACAAAACAAAUCAUACGUUGCUCUCGGUGAGAUUUGUCUCGUACCCACCACUUAUUUUAAGCAAAAAAAAAAUAAAAAUAUUUUUAAUCUGGCCAACUUGCAAGGCGCUAGGUGAUGCAUCAAACGCAGAAAAUCAUCAGGAACUUUCGGGCUGAGUUUCAAUUUUCAAUUGGCAGGUAGCCAGAAGGAGGCAUCAGUCCCUCUGUCAUUUUGCUUAGUGUUUGGUUUCUUCUUCUCUUUGUAAGUAUCACCGGGCUACCAGACUUUUUUAUUUUGUUUAGCUUUUAGACUUUUUUAUAACGUCAUGGGCCCCCCUUUUGUACAGAAACUUUCAACCCCGUGAUUAUUAACGGAGUUUGGAAAAUGCUGCACUGGGUGCACUGUGGACGCAACUCAAAGAAAAGAAAAGAAAAGAAAAGGAGAGAAAAUAAUAAUAAUAAUAAUAACAAAGCUUCAACCUUUUGAAAAUUUUCAUUAUAUAUAUUUACAGCAUUAUUGAUCAAUCUUUUGUUGCUAAAAAAUACUUUCAAUGCUGCCUAGUCACUAUCAGUAGGGACAGCCAUCCAUUUAACAUGGAAUUGGAUUCAUUUCAUAAAAAUUUUGCGGUUUAUGCACUCACAUUAUGAACGGUGCUGAUUGUUAGGUCCAUCAAGAAAGAAACCAAAACUAAACAUCUUUUUUUUUUUCUUAUUUUCAAGAGAAUUAUUCAAAGGUGGAUUCUUCUUGUUCUUUUCGUCUCUCUCCUCUUUUUUUAUUUAUUAUUAUUAUAAUUUUAUUUUGAUCUCAUCAAAGUCUACAUGUUUAUCUUCAACCCCUUUUAAUUUUUCAUCACCUAACCCCUUUGCUUUUAACUCAAUUUAUUCAUUUAACGAGCUACCAAAGCUACCAGGCCCAAGCCAUGGAGUUGGAUGUUAAGCAAAAGGUGAACAAAAGAAGCAAGCUUGAAGAUGAUCAUCAACAAGCAACCGGGAUGGAAACUCUACCUCGAGAGAUCGUGCUCCAUAUAUUGCUGAGGCUCCCGAUCACAUCUUUGGUACAGUUCAAGUUUGUGUGCAGAGCUUGGAGAGCCUUGGCGCAAGACCCUCUUCUUGCUAAUCUGCAUAAUACUACAAGUACAAGCAAAGCUGAAAAGAAUCCGUGCCUCAUCCUUCACUGUGACUUUCCCAUCAGAAACCAGCUCUGCUUUAUUGAUUUUUCAGAUAACCAAGACAAGGUAAGGAAAUUUAACAUGCCUUUCCAAGCUAAGAUGCCCGAGUUUGAUGCUGUAGGUUCAUGUAACGGUUUGCUUUGCCUGUCUGAUUCAUUAUUUAAUGAUGCAAUCUGCAUAUAUAAUCCUUUUACUAGAGAUUAUAUUGAGCUGCCCAAAUCUAUGCAGUAUCCUGAUCAAGAAGUUGUAUUUGGAUUUGGAUUCCAUCCUGUUAGUAAAGAGUACAAGGUGAUUAAGAUAGUUUAUUAUAGGAAAUCUUGUAGUAAUAGUAGUUUCCAACGUACCCGUAGGGUCAUUUAUCCCAGAUCAGAUGUUCAAGUCUAUACUGUAGGAAGCCCUGCCUGGAGGAGUAAGGGGAAAUUAGCAUACCAGUUUGUCCGGAGGCCAUCGGAGGCAUUGGUGAAGGGGAGGCUUCAUUGGGUGACGAGACCUCGGAGAUAUAGUCCUGUUCGUGGAAUCGUGUCGUUUGACAUAGCAGAUGAGCAAUUCCGCGAGGUCCCUAAACCUGAUUGUGGUGGUCUGAAUAGGUGUAACUAUCAUCUGACAGUUCUAAGUGGUUGUCUUUCUGUAGCAGUUUAUGGCAAUUAUGGGAAACUGGAGAUUUGGGUUAUGAAAGAUUAUAAUGUGAAGGAAUCUUGGGCUAAGGAAUUAAACAUUGGAGCCUAUAUCCCUAAGGGACUAAAACAAAGUCUGGACAGACCUUUGAAGAUCUGGAAGAAUUCUUUGAAUGGAAGAGUUGUUCGAGUUGUAUGCAUUCUGGAGAAAGGUGAGAUCUUGUUGGAGUACAAGAGCAGAGUUCUGGUUUCUUAUGAUCCGAAGUGCAGAACAUUUAACGAGUUUGUAUUUAAGGGGACACCAAAUUGGUUUCAAACGAUUGUACAUCAGGGAAGUUUCAAUUGGAUUGAUACACCACAUGAUUUGUAAACUGCAGAAGAAAGGUAUUCACAAGCGCUGCUUCUCUUCCUGUGAGUUUAUACCCUACUGAAAUAAAAUUAUGUUACAAAAUUUCUUUUGUAUUGUCUUAUAACAAGUUAUGACUUGCUAUGAAGCCUUAUUGUUAAUGUUACACACAUGCUGUUAGUGUUUGCAAAUUUUUUUUGAAGUAUCUGGCUAUGUAAAGAGACAAAUUAAAGAUUAGUGGAAAUGAAAUAAUGCCUUACUUCUGUGUAAAAUUUCUGUAUAAACUUACUGUCCUAGUGAAGCAAUUUGUAAUCUUCAUUUCAAAAGUAUACCUUGGCAUGAGAUCACAUCCUAAUUCUAUUAUGGACUUCUUCAGGUUACUGCACUCUGAACUAGUUUCUAAACGACUCACUGUGUCCUCAUAAAUUGCUUUUUGAAGAUGAAAUGAGUUGGUCACUAACUCGAUUGAUGGAUUUCUUGAUCAGUAUUGUUUUUUGAAGAUCUCUACCAGUCGCCAAUGAUUCAUUGCCUAUGUCUAGCUGAAAUUAUGAAGUCAUGUACUACAAUUUCUAAUUCUAUUUCUAUUACUUGCUUCUAGGUGCCACUGCUGAUACCUUUUCAUCCUGAAGCUACAGGGACCUAAGAUUAUCCGCCCCCAGUUCUAGAGGUCUCUCUUGGGCUGCAAAACUGCCACCGCAAGGACUAAUAUUAUAUAAAGGCUUUGGCUAAGUUACGUUAAACGUAACUUACGCCAGAUACAGCAACAGUGCUAGUGAUGGGACUUGUCACUGUUGCUGUGCCUGGCGUAAGUUACGUUUAACGUAACUUAGCCAAAGCCUUUAUAUAAUAUUAGUCCUUGCGGUGGCAGUUUUGCAGCCCAAGAGAGACCUCUAGAACUGGGGGCGGAUAAUCUUAGGUCCCUGUAGCUUCAGGAUGAAAAGGUAUCAGCAGUGGCACCUAGAAGCAAGUAAUAGAAAUAGAAUUAGAAAUUGUAGUACAUGACUUCAUAAUUUCAGCUAGACAUAGGCAAUGAAUCAUUGGCGACUGGUAGAGAUCUUCAAAAAACAAUACUGAUCAAGAAAUCCAUCAAUCGAGUUAGUGACCAACUCAUUUCAUCUUCAAAAAGCAAUUUAUGAGGACACAGUGAGUCGUUUAGAAAAUAAAACUGAAGGCAAAGUCCAAAAGAGCCGCUCAUCAUGCUUUCCCACCAAACGAUUGUGGAAGUUUUCUUAAAAGUCAGCCACCAAAAGAGACUCUAUGCCUAGAGGCCGAUUUAUUUAAUCUUGUUCUCUUGAAAGAGUUGCAAACUGAACAAAAAAACCGUCAUUUUAAUAUUGAGCUUGCACUGUAUACGAUGAUUGCCUACUGCCACUAUGUUUCUUACUUCAAGAAAUAACGGCUCGUCAAGAACAGAUGCUUUCCCACUCUUUUAUCCCCAUUUUCCUGUUGCUAAUCUAACCCUAGUAAAGUUCUCAACUAGAGAGCUUCACACGUUGCAGAACUUUCAUCUUUAUUAAAUCGACUGAUAAAAAAGAAACAAUCGAACAUCUUUCAUUCAGCAUCUCAUCAUGACUUAUCCCAGUCCCCCUUUAUCUCUCUGCAAGCAUGAAUGUUUAACCUACCAUGCUUUUUUCCAAAGUCUAAAGACUAAAAUCUUGUGUGCAAUACCUUGCAUCUCGCUUAUGGGAUGGUAUGGUUGCGUGUGUGUGUGUAAACAAAGAGUGAAGAAUCAAAGCAAGACUUUUGAGUUUUGACUUAAAGUACUGUUUCGGUUUACAAGGCUUGUCACAAAGAAAGCAAAACACUUAAGCCAGAACACAGAUCAAGCAGGCAUCACUAUUUUCUUUUAUUUCAACGCUCAUACAAAUUUCUCCAUAGUUUUUUUGUGAGUAGACUUCAAGAGCUCUUGCUCUGCGUAUACUUAUUAUUUGGGGGUGAUUAAAUCACACAAACCGCCUACUCUUUUAAGGAUUCAAUUGUUCAUUGUGAAAGAACAAAGUUACAUGGUAUGAAUGAAGAUAUAUGAUUUUCUGGAGCACGGAAAUAGAGCAUAAUGCUCGUUAAAGAACACAACAAUACGUUGAAAAUUAACAAGCCAGGUAGCUUGGACGUGUAAGGUCAAAUUGCUUGUACAACAUACGGAUACAAAGUAUUCUUUUACUGAUUUAUGUAAAGAAUGUUGCUCAUUCAUAUAUUUGCUAAUAAAAAUAACAAAAGAGAUACUUAUGGUCACAAUGAGAACAUUGAAUAGAUGGCUUUAACUCUGGCCAGCAACACUUCUUAGGUGCUCUAACACAAGCUUUCUUCCGGUGAGACGCUCAACCAAUCCUUCCGAACAAAAUAUAGAUGAAUUAUUCACUCCCAAGCGACUCUCAAAUUUAUUGCAAAUGUUUAAAAACGGUGUGUGGAUGGAUGUGCGAAUGUAUGUACGUGUAAGUUGAGUGUAUUUGAAGGAACAUAGAGAGCCUAUUACCAUUAGUGUAGUCCCGACAAUCAUGUUGGCCGAUCCUCAAAUGAGUUUCCCAGCUCUUAUUGAAGUUGAUUGCAACAUCAACCGCGUCCAAUUUGGAAGAUCCAACGAACCAACAUUUAUUUCUUGGCAGUUUUGUCAAUUUCCUCACCAGCACGGAACCUAAAGAAGUUCCAAGGUUUAGGUGCCUAACGUGUAACGAUUAAGAGAAAAUAACCCAUAAUAUCAAUCAAUGAAACAUCGGAUGCCCAAUUCAAAAAGCCAAUCCCAGACAAACAAUACGGUUUCCGUUCCUUUAAAGUCACACACGAAAAGACAUUCUACAUAAGAUAGCUAAAGAUGAUUCAUAAUUGAGGGUUAAUAUGUUGGAACUUCUGUGUUCUUACCGGGUACUGAUCUACCAGAUAGAACUUCAAGGGCCGUAUAAAUAUUUUCAGGAUCUUUCGGUUGAAAAUCACAAACAAAGACCUGCAAAAAGCUAACAUUUACAGUGAUUAAUAAAUGGUUAAUUACUUAAUUUAACAAAACGAUCAAUUUAAAAAAUAUAUAUAAAAUAAUUAAAUUGAAGUGACCUGGGAGUGGGUAGGAGGAGAAAAGGGUUUGAUGACGACCAUGAAGUGCUGCAAAUCCCAUACAUUGAGGGUGUAGGCUGAAGACAUAAGCAACUGGGCAGGUCCUUUUGUGGCUCUUAAUGGCACUGCUGCCACGUACACUUCAUCUCUGCCUCUUGUUGCUGCUGCCGAAUUUGCAAAUACAGAAGCCAUUUGUGCUUUUCGUUCAAAACAGAACCGUUAAAAAGUAGUUAAAUACCGGAAAGGAUACUGUAGCGAUAAAAUUAUGAUCAGCGCAGCGAGUAUUCGUUUGAAUGGGCCUUAUAGCCCCUCUUGGUCCACUCAUACUAAACUGUGUAACCCAUUAAAAUUUGUUAUAAAUUAACCCAAAUAAUUUAAAUUUCUUUUUAUGAAAUUUAUUUAACUUACUACUCAUGUCAUGAAUAUUUCUUUCAUGAAGCACAAAAUGAGAAGUUCAAUCGCUCACAAUGUGCCCAUCGUAAAAUAUCUCUAACAUGUGUAAUGUAUGAAAUAAAUCGAUGAAAACAUAAAAAAAAUAUUUGUAUUCCGACCCUCCUUUGCCAAUUUUUAUUUUAUUUUAUUUUACCUUCACUAAUAAGUUGUUCGUAUUUUUUUAUGCCAAUAAUGUUAAGAUAUUGGAGGAUACUAAAUGUAAAUUAAUUCAAGAGUGAAACUAUUUGAACUCAUCAAAUUACUUAUUAAAUCUAUUUAAUCCUUACAUUCAAUACGAAAAUAGUAUUUUCACAUUUUACUCAGAUGUUUCCUAAAUUAUUCUUUAAUUUAUUAUAAAUCUCUAAUUUUCAAUUUAAACUUGCUUGUAAUGUUCUUCCACAUUAACUAGAACCGACUCCUUUUUCUCCAUCUUCCUUGCCAACCAUAAACUAUUUUCUACUGUUGACAAACUUGGCCUUUGCAGGAAAAAAAUCAAUUGAUACUUUAGUUUUUUAAUUUUGGUAGAUUCCAAAGAACUAUUUAUCAAAAAGAACUAGCCUUUAAAUUCUAAAGUUUCAAUUUGAAUGAGAGACUAAUUUUAUUUAGAUUAUAAAUAUUAAUAAAUCUCAUGUAUUUAAUAGUAAUUUAAUCAAAGUAUACCAUUGUAAUAUAAAAUUUAUUUUAUUUUAAAAAAAUAAAUUUGACCUUCGCUAUCUCUAAAAAUAGUCGUGAUUGAAUCUUAUUGCAGUAGCAUUUAAAACUUUGAUAUACAUUCUUUGUAAUACUCUUUGAUUUGAAUUCUAUUGUAGUGGCAUUUAAAGCUUUGAUUUACACUCUUUGUAUUUUGAUAUAAAAUAUGGUGUAUUGGAUCAAUAAUCAAUAAUGAAAUUCGAUGACAUAUAUAGCAAAUCCCCCACAUUUUCUCAGCAUUGUAGUAUCUAGGCCUCUUUCCCUCCCUGUUAACGUCUUCACUCUCACCCUCCACAGGCACAAGAAGUAAAUAACCAAAAGCACCUAAGCAGAGACCGUCUCUGCUUUCCGGCUAUCGUCCUUUUUAAAACCAGCGAAUGUAUAAUGAUAAAUAUCAAGUUUUAUGUGCCUAAUAGGCCGUCUUGGUUCAAUCGAACUGUGUGUAACCAUUAAAAUUUUUUAAAAGUUAACCAAGUAAUUUAAAUUGCUUUUUAUGAAAUUUAAUUCAGCACUAUUUCUCGUAUCAUGUGAAGCACAAAACUGAUGAGAGAUUCAAUCUCUGGCCAUUAUAAAGUGAAUAACAUGUGUAAUGUAUAAAGAAAUCGAUUAUAUAUAUAUAUAUAUAAGGUCCUUGUCCUUUCCACCAUUUUUUUAUUUUGUUCAAAUAAUAUUUGUUAAAAUAUUCGAGGCAUUAAAAAAAAAUUAGACUGUACCAUCAUUCUCACUCAGAUCAAAAGUGCAAUUUCACCAACAUCGGGUGAUGUAAUUUAAAUUCGAACUAAAACUCUCUCUUAAUAUGAUUUUUUUCUGAGCAAAUUUUAUGAAUUGACCAAAGGUUCAUAAAUGAAAAAAUAAAAAUAAUUAAAUUUUAAUCAUACACUAGUACAGUAGUAGUAGCACUAAUAUACAAGUUGCACAAAAUAUAUAAAAAAGUCAAAAGAAGAUUAGAUCAGGAGAGAAUCCUGAUCCUUUAAAUCCAGCUGUAUAAAACGACAUUUAACUUUUACAAUAUUAACCCUCAUCAUCUCUUAAGAUACCGCUUAUUUGAGUUCAUUUUUCAGGCAUCUUGGUUUUUGAUUAUACAUAGUUAAUCAUAUACGUAAACUAUUAGAUAAGAAUGAGAUUGUUGGAGUUGAAUCACCAGAUUGGUGGAGUUAAAUUGGAUUUCUUGUGUUAAUUUAUUAACCUAUAAGUGUGUGUGUGUGUAUAUAUAUUGGAGUCACUGCAACUUGCACUCUCGAUGGCAUAGGAGAGUGUUUGGGACAACUGCGCUAUAGCAGCGCAGCGAGUUUCCACCCUAUAUUUUAGAAAAUAUUCCCUAAGAAUAUGGUACGGAGAGCAGCUGCGCGGUGGUACCGCAGCUGGUCCAAACGCACUAACAGUCUCACUGCAUUCAUCAUAGCUUAAAGACUAACAGAAUGAAAUUCUUAAAACAGAAGGGGCAAAAACAUUAUAGAAAAUAUAUAUAAAAAAGUGUUUCCAUUAGUGCUUAUGUUCUUCACAAAUAUCGAUCAAUAAGUACGACCCAUCAUCCUUAUUGUUUUUUUGCUCGGAUAAAAAAGACAAACUAAUUAAUUAAUACUAAACUAUUUUCCAAUAUUAGCUUGAAAGACCAACCCUUGGUUAUACAGCCAUAUUUUGUUAAUUGGCAUCGAUCAUCACGAUCAUAUAACACCAUUUUGGAACAAAAUAUAUGUUAUGACACACUACAUAUAUAUAAUUUUAUUAUUAAGCAAAACAACUGAUAUAUAUUAUUAUUACUGAUUCACCAAGCCAAGUAGCCAACAACAUACUUGAGCUUCUAUUUAUAACAUACAAGCAAACAGUACAUAAUACACAAAUUUCAAGAACCCACCACUUGGCACCAACAACCCAAUUCCUCAUAGCACGUACCGAAAUUUCACCAUUAAGCUCAGACCAUGCUUUUUCUUUGAAUCAAUUCACUGAUCAUGGAUGUCAUGAUGAUCAGCUAUGUGGAGUUGCAAUUAAUGGUAGAUCCAAAAGUGGGGUCGUUUGCAGAUACCAAGACUCAAACAAAAUCCCUUAUUGUUACCGAAUACUAAAAUAUUUGAAACCACUGAACUAAAUUAACUUGGACGUGCAAAUUGGCCAUCAUUAGUUCUUACAAUAUUAUUACUCAGUCUUCUCAGCUGGGGCUUCAUCAGUGUCAGCUUUCUUCUCAGCUUCAGCUGGCUUCUCAACUGCAGGUUUCUCUUCAUCUUUCACUUCCUCCUUUGCAGCUUCAACUUCUGCCUCUGGCUUCUUCUCUUCUUCCUUGGCCUCUUUCUCAGCAGCUGGCUCUGGUGUCUCCGUUGGAGUAGUUUCCACUUCUUCAGUUUUCUCUGCGGUAGUCUUCUCCGCUGCUGCUGGCUGAUCUUCGGCUACCACCUCCUUUGUCUCAACUUCAGCUGGGGCUUCAGCUUCUGGAGUAACCACCGCUGCUUCUUCAGUUACAGCAACAGCUUCUGCUUCCUUUGCUGCUGGUGGCUCUUCAGCAACGGGUUCUGGUGCCACAGGUGCUGCAGAAGCUGAAGCAACUACCUCCUCUGUUUUAGUUUCUUCAGUCUUGACUGGUUCAUCAGCUGUUUUAGUUUCUUCAGCCUUGACUGGCUCCUCAGCUUUGAUCUCCUCGGAAAGAGCAGUCUUUGCUGACACAACCUGCAUACGAACAAUCAAAUUAAUUAAUUCGCCUAUUAUUACCAUAACGCCAAUAUGCAUGCAUAAGAACUUGAUUACUAGAAGUUGAGUUUCACCUCAACUGUGGCCAUAUUGCAAUUUCAACAGCUAGAAAACUACAAAGAAAACAAGUAUAUAAAUAUAAGAAAGCAAAGAAAUUGACAAUGCGCUUGAGUGUUUGAGAUGAUCAGAGUGUGAGUGAUGAGGCUGCUUUAUAUAGUAGUGACUAGUGAAAAGGAGCCUCAAGUUGAUGAGAGAAAAGGAGGAGGGGGGUGGCUGAGUGGGGUCCUUGAUUGAAGAAUCUUGGGAUUUGACACCUCACCACACUGACUUCCAAGGGCAUGAGCGAGCAUGUUUGGUAAUUAUGCGAGAAGAAAGUUUCUGAGAUGGGGUUUUGCUAUUUUUAAUACAUAAUAGUUUGUACCCUUUCGAGUUUGAUUGGGGAAUGCCAAUUGCCAAACAAUGGUCGCAAAUUUUCCGCUGAGCUAUCAUCUUCCUUUGUAGUGUGUGCUCUGUACAGUCGGCUGUUUAGGCGUCCUUGACAAUCAUUCACCUCACGUUCUUGAUCGAAUAUCUAUUACUUUUAACUGUGGCAAACCCUCAAUAAUUUAAUCUCACUGUGAAUGAUAUUUCUGACAGUCACAUGAAGCCACGGACCAGCAGUGCUGUAUGCAAUAUAUAUAUUAAACUAAUUUGGAAUGUUCUUUUUUCAAGAAUUUACAUUGAUUAAUAUACUGGUAACUAUUCUCUAAAAAUAACAGUUGCACAAUUGAAAAUGUGGAUUUAAACUAGGUAAUAUCGUAAUGAAGCCAUGGCAAUUUCAUAUUGAAAAGCAGACGUUUUAAAUAAUUUCCAAAACUUAUCAACCCAUCAAUUUAUAAUUUGAUUUAUCACAUUUUGGUUACACUCUUAUUUCGGAAGCGGGACCAAAAGAAAAAUAGGCUAUCCACAUCAGCCAACCAAAUCAGCAAACGGGCCUCAACCGUAAAGAGCAUGGGGCGGCGUCAGCCGGUGGGUCCCCACGGGACCAAUAGGAUUAAUUUACGUGGAAGAAACGAAUAAAAUUCUGACGUGGCAAGCAUGCUCCAUGACUUCUUCGCCCCCUGUUCCAGCGAAUCAGGUAUGAAAGAAUGUGGACCCAGUGGGUACACCAAGGGAACAGAUGUUGACCAUGCUGACUCAGGACCCACUCUGUUUCAUCAUCAUCGACAUCGAACGUUGAUGUUACUGUGUAGGCAAAUGCAAUGAAUCAUUAGGCAUGUUAAUUAUUUAAGGGUAUAUGCACGUACACAAAAUUGAUGAAAUAAAUAAUUGUAAAUAUAUAUUAGUCAUUUUCUAGUGCAGGCAACAUGCGUCUUUAUUAUUUUUUUUAUGUAGAUAUAUUUUUAAAUCGUAGGAUUUAAGAGAGUUAGGUGUUGUUUGUUUUUUAGUCUGAAGUUUGAAUUUAAUUUUUUUUAUACAUUUAUUUAUUUUAAGUUGUUUGUUUUUUUAAUUUAUCACUUAUUAUCAGAUAAUUUUAUCUGAAUAGAAAAAAUAUACUUUUAUCUGAAGUCUGAAGUCUAAAUGGAAAAUUUUAAUUUCAAAUCUCAAAAAUACCCUUAACAAUUAUAUAUUUCCCAUAUUAUCUAUAAGCCUAAUAUUUUUGUAUUAUUCUUGAUUUUUUUAAUUACUUUAAAUUUUUAUUCACACGAUAACAUUAACUAAACUGAAAUAUUGAACAAAUCAAAUUAUGUCAAUUGUGAUUAAUCAAAAAUAAAAUCAACAAUGUUGACUUUAUAAUAACAUUUGAUGUUAUAAUUACAUCUUUUAUUACAAAAUUAAAUUAAGAUCAACAAUGAUAGUAUUUUUUAUUUAAUACUACUAAACUAAUCAACAUAUGGAAAUUAUAAAUUGUGAAAAACAAAUAUAUGCACCAAUAAAAGGAUAUUUAUGUCAAACUACUAGUUUUUAAAUCUUUCUCUUCAGACGUAAAAAAAGAGAAAACAAACAUAUCAUUCAGGUAUUUUCAUUCAUACCUAUUCAGACUUCAGUAAAAUUCAGACCUAUUCAAAUUUCAGAUAAAAAAACAAAUGCAAUCUUAAUUUUUAACUCUCUAAAACCGUAUGAUUUUAUAGUUUAUUCAAAAAUUAAUUUCUUUUAAACAACAUGAUUUAAUAAUGUGUUCGCAUUAAAAAAAAUACGAACAUUCAUACCUAAUAAUUAUUAUAUAUACAUACACACACGCGGAGUUUAAAUUAAUAGGUUUGUGCAUAUAUCUUUUUAGGCCAAGAAAGAGAGAGAGAGAGAGAGAGAGAGAAACAUGACUUCACACACAAGACUUGUUUUCCAACAUACAAUUCCAACUAUCAUUAUAAUUUAAACCUGUCUAAUUUAUCUUAAAUAUUUUUAUUAUGUCCAAUUCAACAAAUAUGAAAUAAUAAAUUGGCUUGUUUGGUUUUUUUGCAGUAAAAACAAGAAAUGUUAGACCUUCGUGUGCGCACUUUGUUAUCAAAAUUUUAUAGACAUUGUUGUUGUUGUUGUUAUUAUUGAAAAAUUCUUCAAUAUUAGCGUUGAAUCUUUCCUUAAAAAAAAAAAUCAGAUUUUUUUAGCUUGAAGUUACCAUAAAUUAGACAGAAAAAUAUAUUAGUAUUCAUUGCCAACAAAUAUGCAACCCGUCACGUUACUGCGCUUUUGAACAAUCAUGAAUCCCUAGGGCUGUAAAGCACAACUCUAAACUGAAGACUUCGUACGGUAGCAAACACUCGAUAAUGCCUCGAGGUUUGUGGUAUUUGCGGCGUCUAAGAUAUCGGAUGACGUCCGACGUGUCGUUCUACUCAAAUUCAAAUUCUCAAUUCAUCUUUGAUUUUUGGGACACGAGGCAGAGGUAAAAUAAAAAGGCCACGAACCUGGCUUCUAUGUUUAGGCAGAUCCCGAAAAGGCCAAAAGACAAUAGGGCGGGCGGUGGAGGGGCCUACAAUUGUAGGACCCAUAAUUAAUUUUUACCAUUAAAGCAGUGUCACGUGGGCAAGUAGAUCACCGACCACGUAAUUGAGUUUUGGAUUUGAUUGGCUAAUUGGAUGUAAAAAGGAGGAAGGGGGCUCACUUGACGCAUCAUGAUUGCUGUUUUGACAGAGUGGAGGGAUUAUACGAUUCGUGGUAACGUCAAUGGCUUAUCGUCUGAUCUCUCUUGGCACUUUCCAUAUUUUUUCAAUGAUUUGAAUGAUUAUUGAUGAUAUUUGGGUAGCUUGGAGAGCUCCUCGUGUGGAUUUAAAUUUCAAGCGACUCUUAUGAGCAAACAGGCAUCUUGUAACAUAACCACCCUUAUUUGUUUUGAGCUUCAUGGGAUUUUGUGGCUAUGGAAAGCUGGGUUUAGCCCAAAUU